rnacentral:lncRNA from 1 species
AUUAACCUAAAUUAACACCCACCAGCCCACAGAGACAGCAAGCAGAACAAAACCAGGAAGCUUUCCUGUUUAGAUUUUAGAGCUUAUACUACCAUGUGAUGUAAAUUUCUAUCACUUGAUCCCUCUGGAAGGGUUGAGCUUUUAUGUUUUAGAAUCAUUGUCAAGAUUACCCUCAUAAUCCAGAAAGAAGAAAUGCGUUUGCUUGAUUGUGCUUAUUUUCCAUAAGUAAUAGACAAUCACACAAAUAGAUAAAUGUUUCUCACAUUUUUUAAAUUUCUGCAAGAAAGAAAACUCCAAUCUCAUCUUGAAAUUCUUAUAUCUUCCUCCAGUUGGGUUUUUCAGUGGGCAGAAUUGACAACCGAAGAACGCUUGCAAAGAACUGUUACUCUACUUAUCCAACUUGAAAGACAUGAUUCUUGAGAAAGUAUAAGAGAGACACCUACUGGAGAGAACAAGAUGUAUCUUGUUAUCAGAUGAAUUUUCAGUUUCAGGGAAAUAAAACAACUAUGUGUCUACUGCCCUAAGAUUUUAUACCAUAUACUUUAGAGAUGAACAUGUUACCAUAGUUAUGAAGAUUUAUUUAUGGAAAUAUGUGAACAUCGCAUAGUCAAUUGUCAUGGGAAGGCUAAGUUUGAUUCAAAACAUAAAUCAGAAACCACUUAGGUAAAUCAAACAAGUAUUGCUUAUCUAAAUGAUAUAGAAGAGACGCCAGCUAGGACAUACAGCUCCAACUGAACAGUUCCCAGAAGAGAAUAAGGUAUAAGUUUUAGGUCCCGCUCCCCGACUACUUGGAGUAGCUGUGGCUGAAUAGUUCUGAGAGAUUAAACGUCACAUAAACCUGGAAGCUCAGUUGCACCAAUGCCACAACAAGUCCUGCUUUAUAUAAAUAAACUUGGAAUAAUUCUUCGUAUAGGCUGGCCUGGAUAUGUGCUGAGGACACUGUAUCAAUCUUCUACAAAAUACAACGUUAUUAU